rnacentral:lncRNA from 1 species
AUAAUAUAUCAUAAUACUUGACGUUAUUUAUUUGAAAAACAUUAAAACACUAAGCAUUCAAAGUGAGUGUAUUUAUAUACAAAACCAGAUUAACAGCAUCCCCAAAAUGAAAGUGCCAGCUCUCAAUUAGUUUGAGCUCCCACUGCAGUGGAGCAGGAGCUCCUUAGUAGAUAAGAUGCUACUUAUCUGGCAUAAAAUCCUUGCUGAAAAACACUUGCAUUCAAACAACAAAUUUAUUUGGUAAUUAGGAAACAGAAUGGAGCAAGGAUCUUACUGAAUGCACAGGAAAGGGGAGCUGACCUCAGCCAUUAACAAAGGGUGCAGUAACUGAAGGGCUAUCAGCUGCUCUGGGGUCAGCUCCUUCACAUCUCUGACUGUAACUGGAGAAGAUGAAUCCCCUCAGCUGUGUGAGAGGCUUGCUGGUAAUACUGUGCUGAUGGAUAAUGAAGCUAUUGCCAGGAAUGACAUGGAACUCAAACAUGCAUAGCAGAUGUAAAUA